rnacentral:tRNA from 1 species
CGCGGGAUGGAGCAGCCUGGUAGCUCGUCGGGCUCAUAAACCGAAGGUCGUCGGUUCAAAUCCGGCUCCCGCAACCA